rnacentral:rRNA from 1 species
AACGAACGCUGGCGGCAUGCCUUACACAUGCAAGUCGAACGCGAAAGGGGGCAACCCCGAGUAGAGUGGCGAACGGGUGAGUAAUGCAUCGGAACGUAUCCUAUAGUGGGGGACAACCUCGAGAAAUCGAGGCUAAUACCGCAUACGACCCACGGGUGAAAGCGGGGGACCGCAAGGCCUCGCGCUACUGGAGCGGCCGAUGUCCGAUUAGCUAGUUGGUGGGGUAAAAGCCCACCAAGGCAACGAUCGGUAGCUGGUCUGAGAGGACGACCAGCCACACUGGGACUGAGACACGGCCCAGACUCCUACGGGAGGCAGCAGUGGGGAAUUUUGGACAAUGGGGGCAACCCUGAUCCAGCCAUGCCGCGUGCGGGAAGAAGGCCUUCGGGUUGUAAACCGCUUUCGGCCGGAACGAAAUCGCCGGGGACAACACCCCCGGUGGAUGACGGUACCGGAAGAAGAAGCACCGGCUAACUACGUGCCAGCCGCCGCCGUAAGAC